AUACUAAUAAUGUAUGGGACUGUAGGUGGAGGUAAAGAGGUAUGUGACUGUAGGUGGAGGUAUAGAGGUAUGUGACUGUAGGUGGAGGUAUGUGACUGUAGGUAGAGGUAUGUGACUGUAGGUGGAGGUAGAGAGGUAUGUGACUGUAGGUGGAGGUAAAGAGGUAUGUGACUGUAGGUGGAGGUAUAGAGGUAUGUGACUGUAGGUGGAGGUAUAGAGGUAUGUGACUGUAGGUGGAGGUAUAGAGGUAUGUGACUGUAGGUGGAGGUAAAGAGGUAUGUGACUGUAGGUGGAGGUAUAGAGGUAUGUGACUGUAGGUAGAGGUAUAGAGGUAUGGGACUGUAGGUGGAGGUAGAGAGGUAUGUGACUGUAGGUGGAGGUAAAGAGGUAUGUGACUGUAGGUGGAGGUAAAGAGGUAUGUGACUGUAGGUGGAGGUAUAGAGGUAUGGGACUGUAGGUGGAGGUAUAGAGGUAUGGGACUGUAGGUGGAGGUAAAGAGGUAUGGGACUGUAGGUGGAGGUAUAGAGGUAUGGGACUGUAGGUGGAGGUAUGGGACUGUAGGUGGAGGUAUAGAGGUAUGUGACUGUAGGUGGAGGUAAAGAGGUAUGUGACUGUAGGUAGAGGUAUAGAGGUAUGGGACUGUAGGUGGAGGUAUAGAGGUAUG